rnacentral:rRNA from 1 species
GGGUAACGAGUUCACUCCCAACCCCUGUGACAUACCUUACUGUUGCCUCGGCGGAUCAGCCCGCUCCCGGUAAAACGGGACGGCCCGCCAGAGGACCCCUAAACUCUGUUUCUAUAUGUAACUUCUGAGUAAAACCAUAAAUAAAUCAAAACUUUCAACAACGGAUCUCUUGGUUCUGGCAUCGAUGAAGAACGCAGCAAAAUGCGAUAAGUAAUGUGAAUUGCAGAAUUCAGUGAAUCAUCGAAUCUUUGAACGCACAUUGCGCCCGCCAGUAUUCUGGCGGGCAUGCCUGUUCGAGCGUCAUUUCAACCCUCAAGCCCUCGGGUUUGGUGUUGGGGAUCGGCGAGCCUUUCUGGCAAGCCGGCCCCGAAAUCUAGUGGCGGUCUCGCUGCAGCCUCCAUUGCGUAGUAGUAAAACCCUCGCAACUGGAACGCGGCGCGGCCAAGCCGUUAAACCCCCAACUUCUGAAUGUUGACCUCGGAUCAGGUAGGAAUACCCGCUGAACUUAAGCAUAUCAUAAGUCGGAGGAAUU